AUUGAACGCUGGCGGCAUGCUUUACACAUGCAAGUCGGACGGCAGCACAGAGAAGCUUGCUUCUUGGGUGGCGAGUGGCGAACGGGUGAGUAAUAUAUCGGAACGUACCGAGUAAUGGGGGAUAACUAAUCGAAAGAUUAGCUAAUACCGCAUAUUCUCUGAGGAGCAAAGCAGGGGACCUUCGGGCCUUGCGUCAUUCGAUCGGCCGAUAUCUGAUUAGCUAGUAGGUGGGGUAACGGCCUACCAAGGCGACGAUCAGUAGCGGGUCUGAGAGGAUGAUCCGCCACACUGGAACUGAGACACGGCCCAGACUCCUACGGGAGGCAGCAGUGGGGAAUAUUGGACAAUGGGCGCAAGCCUGAUGCAGCCAUGCCGCGUGUCUGAAGAAGGCCUUCGGGUUGUAAAGGACUUUUGUCAGGGAAGAAAAGACUGUUGCUAAUACCGACAGCUGAUGACGGUACCUGAAGAAUAAGCACCGGCUAACUACGUG
rnacentral:rRNA from 1 species